rnacentral:rRNA from 1 species
AGAGUUUGAUCCUGGCUCAGAACGAACGUUGGCGGCGUGGAUUAGGCAUGCAAGUCGAACGAAUCCCCGGUAGCUUGCUACCGGGGGGAAGUGGCGAAAGGGGCAGUAAUGCGUGGGUAACCUACCCCGGGGACGGGGAUAGCCUUCCUAACGGAAGGGUAAUACCUGGCGAUCCGGCGCGGGGACAUCCUCAUGUCGGGAAACGAAUUUCGCCUCGGGAGGGGCCCACGUGAUAUUAGCUUGUUGGUGGGGUAACGGCCCACCAAGGCAAAGAUGUCUAGCGGGUGUGAGAGCACGACCCGCGCCACUGGCACUGAGACACUGGCCAGACUCCUACGGGAGGCUGCAGUCGAGGAUCUUCGGCAAUGGGCGCAAGCCUGACCGAGCGACGCCGCGUGUGCGAUGAAGGCCUUCGGGUUGUAAAGCACUGUCGAGGGGGAGGAAGCCCCGCAAGGGGUUGACCUAUCCCUGGAGGAAGCACGGGCUAAGUUCGUGCCAGCAGCCGCGGUAAGACGAACCGUGCGAACGUUGUUCGGAAUCACUGGGCUUAAAGGGCGCGUAGGCGGGUUCGAUAGUCUGUGGUGAAAGCCUCCAGCUUAACUGGAGAAGUGCCAUGGAUACUGCGAACCUGGAGGAGGGUAGGGGCAUCUGGAACGCUGGGUGGAGCGGUGAAAUGCGUUGAUAUCCAGCGGAACUCCGGUGGCGAAAGCGAGGUGCUGGACCCUUUCUGACGCUGAGCGCGAAAGCCAGGGGAGCAAACGGGAUUAGAUACCCCGGUAGUCCUGGCCCUAAACGAUGAGGACUAGUAGUGGACUUACAUGGGUCACUGCCGAAGCAAAGUGCUAGUCUCCGCCUGGGGAGUAUGGUCGCAAGCUGAACUCAAGGAUU